rnacentral:lncRNA from 1 species
AUGCCCUUAGCCUCAGACUAUUGUGGAUGAACAGCAUCACACCUGUGUGUGUCCUUCAAUUGCUCUUCCACGUGCUUGCAUUCUGCAGUGAGAGACUCCUGAAACUUGUAAAAGAAGAAAGACAAAAUUCUCUUCCUGACAUAGGAGCUAUCUUUAGGGACAGAGGAACUGAGAGAAGAGAUGUAGGGAAAGCACAAAAAUUUUUUUCGAAUGGUCUUAUUUUCAGUUCUGUUACUUUUGAGCCAAAUCAAACUGCUUGA